GCAUCGGUGGUUCAGUGGUAGAAUGCUCACCUGCCAUCCGGUCGCCCGGGUUCGAUUCCCGGCCGAUGCA
rnacentral:tRNA from 1 species